UACCAGCACCCCGAGUGGUCGGGACGAUUAUUGGGCCUAAAGCAUCCGUAGCCGGCCUUACAAGUUCCUACCGUUCAAAUCCAGACCUGCUUAACAGAUGGGCUGCGGAGGAUACUAUAAGACUAGGAGGCAGGAGAGGCAAGCGGUACUCAGUGGGUAGGGGUAAAAUCCGUUGAUCCAUUGAAGACCACCAGUGGCGAAGGCGGCUUGCCAGAAUGCGCUCGACGGUGAGGGAUGAAAGCUGGGGGGAGCAAACCGG
rnacentral:rRNA from 1 species